rnacentral:rRNA from 1 species
AUUGAACGCUGGCGGCAUGCCUAACACAUGCAAGUCGAACGAGUGGCGGACGGGUGAGUAACGUCUGGGAAACUGCCUGAUGAAGGGGGAUAACUAUUGGAAACGGUAGCUAAUACCGCAUAGCAUUCGAUGUGCCCAGGUCGGAUUAGCUAGUUGGUGGGGUAACGGCUCACCAAGGCGACGAUCCGUAGCGGGUCUGAGAGGAUGAUCCGCAAAACUGGAACUGAGACACGGUCCAGACUCCUACGGGAGGCAGCAGUGGGGAAUUUUGGACAAUGGGCGCAAGCCUGAUGCAGCCAUGCCGCGUGUAUGAAGAAGGCCUUCGGGUUGUAAAGGACUGUGAGCAGGGAAGCGGUACCUGAAGAAGAAGCACCGGCUAACUACGUGCCAGCAGCCGCGGUAAUAC